CGUGUAGGCGGGACUGUAAGUCAGAUGUGAAAUUCCAGGGCUUAACUCUGGAGCUGCAUCUGAAACUAUGGUUCUUGAGUGCUGGAGAGGAAAGCGGAAUUCCUAGUGUAGCGGUGAAAUGCGUAGAUAUUAGGAGGAACACCAGUGGCGAAGGCGGCUUUCUGGACAGUAACUGACGCUGAGGCGCGAAAGCGUGGGGAGCAAACA
rnacentral:rRNA from 1 species